rnacentral:tRNA from 1 species
GUAGGUAUGCUCAGCGGUAGAGUGCAUGCUUAGCAUGCAUGAGGUCCUAGGUUCAAUCCCCAGCACCUUCA